rnacentral:rRNA from 1 species
CACGUAGGGCGCAAGCGUUGUCCGGAAUUAUUGGGCGUAAAGAGCUCGUAGGCGGUCUGUUGCGUCUGCUGUGAAAACUCGGGGCUUAACCCCGAGCCUGCAGUGGAUACGGGCAGACUAGAGGUAGGUAGGGGAGAAUGGAAUUCCCGGUGUAGCGGUGAAAUGCGCAGAUAUCGGGAGGAACACCGGUGGCGAAGGCGGUCCUCUGGGCCUUACCUGACGCUGAGGAGCGAAAGCGUGGGGAGCGAACAGG